rnacentral:rRNA from 1 species
UAGCGUAGGGUGCAAGCGUUGUCCGGAAUUAUUGGGCGUAAAGAGCUCGUAGGCGGUUUGUCGCGUCUGCUGUGAAAACGCGAGGCUCAACCUCGCGCCUGCAGUGGGUACGGGCAGACUAGAGUGCGGUAGGGGAGAUUGGAAUUCCGUGGUGUAGCGGUGAAAUGCGCAGAUAGUCAGGAGGAACACCGGUGGCGAAGGCGGGUCUCUGGGCCGUAACUGACGCUGAGGAGCGAAAGGCGUGGGGAGCGAACAGG